AGUGAACGCUGGCGGCGUGCCUAAUACAUGCAAGUCGAACGGAGUGGCGCACGGGUGAGUAAUAUAUAGCUAAUCUGCCCCUUGCUGGAGGACAACAGUUAGAAAUGACUGCUAAUACUCCAUAGGAAGGGAUGAGACUAUAUCGUAUCAGCUAGUCGGUGGGGUAACGGCCUACCGAGGCUAUGACGCGUAACUGGUCUGAGAGGAUGAUCAGUCAAAUUGGAAGUGAGACACGGGCCAGGAGUCUACGGGAGGCAGCAGUAGGGGAUAUUGCGCAAUGGGGGAAUCCCUGAAGGGGCAACGCGGCGUGGAGGAUGACACUUUUCGAAGCGUAAACUCCUUUUGUUAGGGAAGCGGUACCUAACGAAUAAGCACCGGCUAACUCCGUGCCAGCAGCCGCGGUAAUUC
rnacentral:rRNA from 1 species